rnacentral:rRNA from 1 species
AAACUGUUAACCUAGAGUUUGGUAGAGAGUUCUGGAACUCCAUGUGGAGCGGUGGAAUGCGUAGAUAUAUGGAAGAACACCAGUUGCGAAGGCGAGAACUUGGGCCACAACUGACGCUUAGGCUCGAAAGUGUGGGGAGCAAAUAGGAUUAGAUACCCUAGUAGUCCACACCGUAAACGAUGGGUGUUAAACGUCGGGAUUUAAUCUCGGUGUUGUAGUUAACACAUUAAACACCCUGCCUGGGUAGUACAUUCGCAAGAAUGAAACUCAAACGGAAUUGACGGGGACCCGCACAAGUGGUGGAGCAUGUUGUUUAAUUCGACGAUACACGUAGAACCUUACCUAGACUUGACAUCCUUGGCGAAGUUAUAGAAAUAUAAUGGAGGUUAACCGAGAGACAGGUGGUGCAUGGUUGUCGUCAGCUCGUGUCGUGAGAUGUUGGGUUAAGUCCCGCAACGAGCGCAACCCUUAUCGUUAGUUAUUUUGUCUAACGAGACUGCCAACGCAAGUUGGAGGAAGGUGGGGAUGACGUCAAAUCAUCAUGCCCCUUAUGUCUAGGGCCACAAACGUGCUACAAUGGUCGGUACAAACAGUCGCUAAUUCGUAAGAUAGAGCUAAUCUGUAAAGCCGAUCUCAGUUCGGAUAGAGGGCUGAAAUUCGCCCUCUUGAAGUUGGAAUCACUAGUAAUCGCGAAUCAGCCAUGUCGCGGUGAAUACGUUCUCGGGUCUUGUACACACCGCCCGU